rnacentral:rRNA from 1 species
UACGUAGGGGGCAAGCGUUGUCCGGAUUUAUUGGGCGUAAAAGGCUUGUAGGUGGCCACGCCAAGUCGGAUGUGAAAUCUCCCGGCUCAACUGGGAGGGGUCAUUCGAUACUGGCGGGCUCGAGGCCGGUAGGGGGAAGUGGAAUUCCCGGUGUAGUGGUGGAAUGCGUAGAUAUCGGGAGGAACACCGGUGGCGAAGGCGGGUCUCUGGGCCGAUAUUGACGCUGAGGAGCGAAAGCGUGGGGAGCGAACAGG